rnacentral:rRNA from 1 species
GACGAACGCUGGCGGCGUGCUUAACACAUGCAAGUCGAACGGAAAGGCGCGGCUCUUGUUGGUUUCUCGAUUGGCGAACGCGGGAGUAACACGCGAGUAACCUCUCCUUGACUUUGUGAUAACUUUACGAAACUGGGGCGAAUAUCGCGUAGGAUCUCUUGCAGCAUGUGGGGGGAUGGAAAGUUUCGGCGGUUGGGGCUGGACUCGCGGGUUAUCAGCUUGGUGGUGGGGUAGGGGCUUACCAAGGUUUUGACGGGUAGCCGGCAUGGGAGGGUGACCGGCCACAUUGGGACUGAGAUACGGCCCAGACUCCUACGUGAGGCAGCAGUGGGGAAUAUUGCACAAUGGGCGGAAGCCUGAUGCAGCAGCGCCGCGUGCGGGAUGACGGCCUUCGGGUUGUAAACCGCUUUCGCCUGUGACGAAGCGUGAGUGACGGUAAUGGGUAAAGAAGCACCGGCUAACUACGUG